rnacentral:rRNA from 1 species
GAUGAACGCUGGCGGCGUGCCUAAUACAUGCAAGUAGAACGGUGAAGGAGUAGCUUGCUCUUCUGGAUGAGUGGCGAACGGGUGAGUAACACGUAGGUAACCUGCCUGGGAGUUGGGGAUAACUAUAGGAAACGAGAGCUAAUACCGCAUGACAACAGCUAUUGCAUGGUAAGGGUUGGAAAGGGGCAACGGCUGCACUACGAGAUGGGCCUGCGUUGUAUGAGGUUGUUGGUGCGGUAACGCCUCACCAAGGCGGGGAUGCAGACCCCACCUGAGAGGGGGGUCAGCCAGCCUGGGAGUGAGACAGGGCACAGAGUCCUACAGGAAGGAGCAGGAGGGAAACUUCGGCAAGGGGCGGAAGUCUGACCAAGAAACGCCGAGGGAGUGAAGAAGGUUGUCGGGUCGUAAAGCUCGGUUGUCAGGGAAGAACGAGUGUGAGAGUGGAAAGUUCACACUGUGACGGUAACUUACCAGAAAGGAACGGCUAACUACGUG